rnacentral:rRNA from 1 species
UAGGGAAUAUUGGACAAUGGGCGCAAGCCUGAUCCAGCCAUGCCGCGUGAGUGAAGAAGGCCCUCGGGUUGUAAAGCUCUUUUGUCCGGAAAGAAAAGCAUCGGGUUAAUACCCCGGUGUUCUGACGGUACCGGAAGAAUAAGCACCGGCUAACUUCGUGCCAGCAGCCGCGGUAAUACGAAGGGUGCAAGCGUUACUCGGAAUUACUGGGCGUAAAGCGUGCGUAGGUGGUUCGGUAAGUCUGAUGUGAAAGCCCUGGGCUCAACCGGGGAAGGGCAUUGGAAACUGGCGGACUGGAGUGCGGUAGAGGGUAGCGGAAUUCCCGGUGUAGCAGUGAAAUGCGUAGAGAUCGGGAGGAACAUCCGUGGCGAAGGCGGCUACCUGGACCAGCACUGACACUGAGGCACGAAAGCGUGGGGAGCAAACA